CGAACGCUGGCGGCGCGCCUAACACAUGCAAGUCGAACGAGCGAGAGAGAGCUUGCUUUCUCAAGCGAGUGGCGAACGGGUGAGUAACGCGUGAGGAACCUGCCUCAAAGAGGGGGACAACAGUUGGAAACGACUGCUAAUACCGCAUAAGCCCACAGGUCGGCAUCGACCAGAGGGAAAAGGAGCAAUCCGCUUUGAGAUGGCCUCGCGUCCGAUUAGCUAGUUGGUGAGGUAACGGCCCACCAAGGCAACGAUCGGUAGCCGGACUGAGAGGUUGAACGGCCACAUUGGGACUGAGACACGGCCCAGACUCCUACGGGAGGCAGCAGUGGGGAAUAUUGCACAAUGGGGGAAACCCUGAUGCAGCGACGCCGCGUGGAGGAAGAAGGUCUUCGGAUUGUAAACUCCUGUUGUUGAGGAAGAUAAUGACGGUACUCAACAAGGAAGUGACGGCUAACUACGUG
rnacentral:rRNA from 1 species